UCCCAGAAAAGGGACAUUCACACAUCUUACUUCCUGUCCCAGUCCCAGAGCCUAAGAAGGAGAUCUUACUGGGGCUGGCCUGGGUGGAAGACGACAUUUGUUCUAGAAGAAGCUUCCUGAGUGGC